GUUCCGGUUUGCAAACUUUUUUUGGAUUCCGAACAUCCAAGAGGGCUUCUGUGGCUUCUAAUUGGCUGCAGGAGCUUUCUGUAGCCAAUCAGAAGCCAUGCUUUGGUUUCCGAACAUUUGGGAAGUUGAACGGAUUUCCGGAAUGGAUUCCGUUCGACUUCCAAGUACGACUGUAUUUAUUGAAUUUAUACCCCGCCCUGUACCCACAGGUCCCUUUAAUAUAACGGCAUUUAUAAGGACUUUAAUAUAUUGGAAUUCAACAACCAGUUGUGUGUUAGAUGACAUAGUGGACUUUGGUUAGGGGUGCAGAGUGUACACUUCAGGGGGCGUUAGUGAACAAGAGACUAGGGAUUAUGUAAUCCAAGCAGACUGAGGUCUGUCCUCUAUGUGUGAUGCUUUGCACAUGAUGAAUCUCCUACACCGACUUCUUUUCUGUGGAAGAAAUGACAGGUUAAAUGACGAUGAGCAAAAAUAAAAUCCUCAGGCGUCACCUGUGAUGGGCUUUUGCAUACAUAUGCAUGUAAUGUUUUCUACAAGCCUUUAUAUUUCUGUAUUUCCACUGGCAGGUGAAGCGCUAUGCCUUCUGAAAGGCAGGGCGAGGUUGCUCUUCUAGAAAAAUCUUUGACAGCAAAGGUCAGCUUGACAAGGAGGGCUGGGUCACAUAUAGCAUAGGCAAAGAAAUUCCUGUUACUGGUUUAUUGGAUAAUCACAUAGAUAUGCUUUUAAUGCAUGCCAGGAAAUAGAUUUCUCAACCCACAAUGAUACAGUUAUUUAUUUACCCUUUAUCUUCUUGUCAUGUAAGAUGACACCAGACAGGAUAACUGCUGUUUGCAGAACACACACACAAAAAUCUAUGGCAAAGUAUCAUUUUCAAUUUGGACACUGAUCUCUAUAUGAGUUAUCUCUACAUCAGGCAUGGGGAACCUUUGGCCUUCCAAUUAUUGCUGGACUACAACUCGGAUCAGUUCCAGUAAGCAGGCACCAUACGCAGGGAUGAUGGCAGUUGUAGUUCUACACUGUUCUGUACUAUCCCCGAAGGCUGGGUCCUACAAUUCUGUAGGCAUAGGUCAUCACAAGCAAACAACCAAAGUUCCUUCUUUGAGGUAAUAUUCUCGGUCACAAUACUAACAUACAGUGCUAUUUUUUAUAGAAAAGGAGGUGCUGAAACUCACCACGAACACCUGACUUGUCCUUUUAUGGCACCCACCUGAGACGUGCCGGAACUGUGGAUGCCUCAGCAGCUACGUCCCCCAGAAAUGGCACCUAUGAGACCAAGGGCAUUGGGGGUGGCGGCGCUAAUUUCCUGGGGGCAAGACAACAAAGGUGAUUUUGACUUUCAUUUUACCAUUGUGUUGUCUACUACAGAAACGUGAGCAUCUCUCUUAAUCAUCCGAGCGAGAAAGAGGCAUGACAUGUUCCACCCAGGCAAAAGCUCUUGAGCAGGGUACAAAACAGGACUGGUAAAAGGUGUGGCCUAGGGAGAGUCCCCCUGAGGGCCAGAUGGGCAGGGACGGAGGGCCGCAUUUGGCCCCUGGAUCUGAGGUUUCCCACCCCAAUUUAGACUUCAUGUCGUGGUGGUGUAUCUGAAACACUUAGCUGGUGCGACAAUUUGUUGAAGAGCUGUUAGGGAUGACAUAGAAACAGGGGUGCCAACUUGAAUAAAACAUUGGGGGGCAGGUAAUCCCCACCCUGCAUACUUGAUCACAUGAUGUGGUGCACACACACCAUUUGAAGGGUGUGUGUGAAGGGACCUCAGCCCUAGGAAUUGGCUCCUAGGAACAGAACCAACUUUUUCCCACUGCUGCCACACACUGGGUCAACACAUUCAUCAAGCUAUCCACCAUAAUCCCAAGAUGGCUUUCCUGGUUACCUUGGUAGUCAAACAGCUUGGCUCCUGAACAAAUCGGCUCCCUAACGCCACAAACCCAGAAGUGAUUGUUCUGGUUUGCGAAUGUUUUUCGGAAGCUGAACAUCGGGCGUGGCUUCUGCGGCUUCUGAUUGAGUGCAGGAAGCUCCUGCAGCCAAUCGGAAGCCGUGCCUUGGUUUUCCAACCAUUACGGGAGUCAAACGGACUCCCGGAACAGAUUAAAUUCAAGAACAAAGGUACCUCUGUAUAGUAAUUGUCACUUAGAAACAUGAAAAAGCCAAUACUGUAAAUAGUAAAUCUGGGUUCCCUGGUACGGUUUUACCAAUGACCUAUUGUCUUCUUUUUCUUUAAGGUCCAUAUAAUUGUGCUUAGAAUAAGGCAAGAAGCCAUCAGCAACAGCAGCCCACAUGAGGUUCAAACUACUGUUCUUGCGUGUACCCUUCCGAGAAGGAGUCAAUGCCUGAGCUGUGUUGGAGAGGUCAGAGUACAGGAAAGAUUUCUCAACUCUGCAAACACCCACAUAUAUUAGUGCGAGGUUUGCCAAAGCUUUUGGUUUAAUUGCAAAUAUUUCCUUGGAACCAGCCAGCUGAGGGGUCAGGCUGGAGGUAUUCAUGGAUGCAGCAUUUUCAAGUUUUCCCUCACUUUCAGGGGACUUUCACUUAUUCCCAACAUACAGCUGGAAGAAGAAAUGGGGGGGGGGGGAGAGAUUUUUCCAGCAUGUUUACCUGCAAAUGAAACUAUUGAUCCGUUGCUCAAAUUUUUCCACACUUUGCUUGACCUGCACCUGGAAAGCUAUUUAAAUAACGAAAUAAGCCACUUGCGCAGAAAUAAGGAUGGAACACUUUCAGCCUAAGCCACUGAUCACUUACAGGGAAGUGCUGCCAGGACUGCAGCAUUGAAACUCACUCCUCAGCGUACUCAGAAAUAAAUCCUAUUACAUCCAGUGGGUCUUAUUCCCAGGUAUAUGGGGUUAGGAUUGCAUCCUUAGGACACAAUUCUGACUCCCAUCCCCUGCCUGCAGGGCUUUACAGAGGGAGGGUCCCAUGGUUGCACUGACAGCUUUGCUGUUCACAGUGGCUUGAGCAGAAGGGGAGGCCGAUCUGUUUGUGAUCACUAUUCGUGAUCGUUGUGCCUUCUCCAGAUUUAGAUCUGGUCCCAAUAAUCUCACAUGAAAUACUGGCAAAGACUUGCCCCUUCCCUGCCCUCAGAAUGCUCUGCUUUGGUGCUUUCCAGGGCAAGGAACAUGGACUGGACUCACAGGCCUCGUUAUCAUCAUUUUAAUCACCUGUAAUUAGUUCAGAACAGCCUCUGACACGCCAGUCGUUCAGAUACCAAGUGAGCAGAGUUUCACAGUCCAACUUCAUACAGCACAGUGUUUCUUCAGUAUGUACCUGGUCACAAGAUGUGCAGCUGGAAAAAUGGGGGACUAAACACAUUAGGUGUGUGUGUGUGUGUGUGUGUGUGUGUGGAGUAAGCACUUAAAUGUCAGGCAACAUCAAGGACAUCAAAUUAUAUAAAAUUAUAUAAAGGACCAAGGGCUUAUCCAGGCUUCCAUUUUGUGCCACGAUUUGUAGGCACGGAUCUGAGUGGUUUUUUGUUUUGUUUUGUUUUGUCUUGCUGCUUUGCCCAGGAAAAUCCACUGUUUACCACUGAAUCAGAACAAACAUCAAUCGAGUUUUCCACAAAAUGGCCGUUUGUUCCAAUUCAGUGGUAAACAGCAGGUUUUCCCAGGGAAAGCGGCGGCACAAAUGAACAAAACGCAUGGACCAGUGUCUGGAAAUCACAGCACAAACAGAAGUGUGGAUUAUGAAUGUGACAUCUUCCAGACUGCCUUCUCCUUGUCUUCUUUAAAAUGAAUGUAUCCUACUUGGCUAGCUCAGUCGGUAGAGCAUGAGACACUGGGCGAAAGAUUCUUGCAUUGCAGGGGUUGGACUAGAUGCCUCUCGUGGUCCCUUCCAAUUUUACAUUUCUAUUAUGUGUAGCCUUCCUUAUAGCAAGAUAUACAGUAGCUACAUGAAUAGACCUAGAUGGGCUGCAUGCUGAACCUCAUGAGGACAUCUAUUAAGCUAUCAAAAAUUGAAAGAAAUCCCCAGACCCCAUGAAAGAGUCCAGGGAGAUACUUUCAAAGUUUAAUAAAACAUUCACUUCAUUGGGCUGCUGUACAGAUCUAAAGAUUGAUGUAGAUGUUCAGUUGGGCUCACACCAAAUUAUUGUGCAAAAUUAAGUCACAUACAUUUGAGAAGUUUCAGUUUCACAGAAUAUACACACCCUGGCACUUUGCAGCCAGUUCUUACAAGAAAAUAUUGCAUGAUGAACACUUCAAACAUACCAGAGCAAUAAAGUCAGGAGCCACACACUUCCUUGUUCUCAUAAUGAUCUCUGUGGUCCACACCUCUCCAUAUUAUUGUACACUGAAAAGAGGCAUUGACCUUCACACACAUAUGCACUCCAUCUUCAGGAUACCAGUUUGUUUGGAGGACCAGAAAUACACGUGACACAAUAAAAGAGAAGUGAGCAACCAGGUGGUGCCUGCAGGAGUGCCUAAAUGAUGUGUUGUUGUCCAUGAAUUACCAUGGUUAAAUUUGCAAAAUCGGUAUAUGAUGCAUACAUACUGGAUUUUCACUCAAGCAAUGCCAUUAAGUCAAAGAUUACAUAGAUAAGGGUGAGCAGAGCAUAGAUUAAAAUCUCUGCCAUGGCUGGUCUUGUGCUCACCACUUAUAUCUCAGCCUUUGUAUUCCUCAACUGUAAAAUAUGACUAUUCAAGUUACCUUUAUUGAAUGACCAUUAAAAGCAAAUUUCCAGUAUCUGGUUGAAAGUAUGGGGCAAUGAUUAAGUCCACCAGUCACUUACUUCUGAUCAGUUUUAGCUGAUUUACAAAUAGAUCCCAGUACUUGCAGUCAAAGAAUAGUAAUCUAUUUUGAUACAAAUAUUUACCGUAUUGGCCCAAAUAUAAGCCGCACGUGCAAAUAAGCCGCACCUUUAAAAUUCAAGGGGGGGGGGGAGACAAUACCCAAAUCUAAGCCGCUCCCUUAAAAUUGGGUCACAUGCUGAAAAUCGCUGCGAUUGGUAGAAUUGUAACUCUGAGCCAAUUUAAGCCUUUGAUCUUGCAAGCCCGCGUACAAUCGCUAAAAUAACAAAUCGCUAUUCAUUUGCUACAAUUCCGCAGACACUCAAACCCAUAAAUGGCAAAUGAACAGUCUCAAGCUUGCAAAUUGACAAUAAAACAUUUUUUGGUUCCGUUUUACCAGAUGUCUGUUUCAGCAGCAAUAUCGCAUGUAAGGCUGCGAAUUUAAGCCACACUUGUAACUUUUCACGGUCAGAAUUUGGAAAAAAAGUGAGGCUUAUAGUCAGGCCAAUAUGGUAAUUAAAAACAACAACAACCAGGAAUAUGAUUGACAUUGCACUGAUGGAAUAAGUUAGUCGGGUUCUGUUAUGACUCACUCUGGG
rnacentral:lncRNA from 1 species